rnacentral:RNase_P_RNA from 1 species
UGAGUGGACCAGACGACCGCGGCGGGGCGCUGCUCGGUGAGAGCGCGUUCUGCUGAGGAAAGUCCGAACUCCGCAGAGCACGAUGCUGGGUAACUCCCAGGCGAGGCGACUCGACGGCAUAGUGCAACAGAGAGCAGGUCGCUGCCCGGUCUCGGCCGAAACGAAGGCGGGCAGUAAGAGUGAAACGGUGGUGUAAGAGACCACCAGCGGGCCAGGUGACUGGUCCGGCUAGGCAAACCCCAUCGGGAGCAAGGCCAAGCAUGAGGCGGUCGCCGAUGCCGAUCGGCGACGCGGGCUGCUCGUCCGAAGCCUCGGGUAGGCCGCUGGAGGCCGCGAGCAAUUGCGGCCCGAGAUAGAUGGUCGUCGGCCCGCGAACCCUGGGCGAUCCUCAGGGCGUGGGUUACAGAAUUCGGCUUAUAGGUCCACUCAUUCC